CCUACGGGACGCAGCAGCGAGGAAUAUUGGUCAAUGGGCGCAAGCCUGAACCAGCCAAGUCGCGUGAGGGAAGACGGCCCUACGGGUUGUAAACCUCUUUUGCCGGGGAGCAAGCCUGAGCACGUGUGCCCAGGCGGAGAGUACCCGGAGAAAAAGCAUCGGCUAACUCCGUGCCAGCAGCCGCGGUAAUACGGAGGAUGCGAGCGUUAUCCGGAUUUAUUGGGUUUAAAGGGUGCGUAGGCGGUCCGGAAAGUCAGCGGUAAAAGCCCGGGGCUCAACCCCGGCGAGCCGUUGAAACUGUCGGG
rnacentral:rRNA from 1 species